rnacentral:tRNA from 1 species
GCGAACGUAGCUCAGUCGGUAGAGCGUCGGCUUCCCAAGCCGAAGGUCGCGGGUUCGAGGCCCGUCGUUCGCU